rnacentral:rRNA from 1 species
CGCACGGGUGAGUAACACGUAUGCAACCUGCCUGCCACAGCCGGAUAAUCGGGAGAAAUUCCGUCUAAUACGGCAUAAUGCAUCGACGGGACAUCCUGUUGGUGCCAAAGGUUAAUUCCGGUGGCGGAUGGGCAUGCGUCGCAUUAGUUAGUUGGCGGUGUAACGGACCACUAAGACGACGAUGCGUAGGGGUUCUGAGAGGAAGGUCCCCCACACUGGUACUGAGACACGGACCAGACUCCUACGGGAGGCAGCAG